GGGCGCGGGGCCGCCGUGCACCGUCUCCAUGGCGAGAGGCGCGUCCCGCCGCGCGCACGCGCAAUGGAGGGGAGAGGCGGCUGCAGGCGGCGAGAGCCCAUGGGGGGCGCUCUGAGCAGCCAUGUGGGUCCCAGAGGCCAUGAGGAGAGGCCACCGCUCUGGGUCCAGGGUGAGGAGCCCCUGCCUGAGGAGAGGCUCCCGUACAGCGGGGAGACGCUUGCAACCACCACCAAGAGGCUCCGGGAGAUGUCAGAGAUAGCCGAGCCGCCCUGGGAGAUGUCAGAGAUAGCCGAGCCGCCCCAGGAGAUAGCAGACACAGAUGAGCUGCCCACUGUGCCCCUAUCAGCCGUGCCCAGCAAGGUGCCAUCCCGAGAGAUUAGGAGGAAUCCCUCUGAGAUCAAGCUGCCUCCCUGGCUUGGAAAGUGGGGGACUGGCUCCGAGGAGAAGUCCUCCGCCACACUGCCGGCGCUGCCGCCCACCCCAUCCACGCCAGCAGAGAAGCCCAGCCAGGCGGUGCCCCAGCGGAGCUGUGUGACCCAUGACUGGCAGAAGGAGGUAGUCGUGGAUCCCCUGGACUCUCGGCCAAGGAAGGAUUUGGGCAGUGAGGACUUACAGCGUGGCUACGAUGGACUGCCAAUCCACCAAUUUCUCUCCUCAGUCACUGACAGCGCCCCCCCGAAGGACUGCCCAACCCUCAGGGCUGUGCUGCUGGGGCAAGGGCAGCGGAAGGCCGCAUUGGCAUCCAUGCUCUUCAAGAAAUACAGCAAGGAGACGGAGGAGGAGAUUCGGCCCCGCCCAAAGCGCAUGGAAUCUAUCUCCACCACGCAUGAUGACUACUGUGCCAUGGGCUUCCAGUCCACACCCCAGCCCAUCACCCAGCGUCACGAUUACUUAACGGAGCAGCCAAGCAGCUUCUGGAUGGAGCAAGCCCGUGGACGGCCGGUAAGGCUCCCACCACCCUGUCCUGCCAGUACCCUGGGACUCUCAGCUGCUGAAAGAGAUCUCUCCAAUUCUCUCCUCUCCAGGGUGUCACUGCCCUCUUCGGCACAAACAUUCCCUUCAAGAGGAAUGCAGACUUCUCCACUCCCAUUACCAUGUACUUAG
rnacentral:lncRNA from 1 species